CGUAGGGCGCAAGCGUUGUCCGGAAUUAUUGGGCGUAAAGAGCUCGUAGGCGGUUUGUCGCGUCUGCUGUGAAAACGCGAGGCUCAACCUCGCGCCUGCAGUGGGUACGGGCAGACUAGAGUGCGGUAGGGGAGACUGGAAUUCCUGGUGUAGCGGUGGAAUGCGCAGAUAUCAGGAGGAACACCGGUGGCGAAGGCGGGUCUCUGGGCCGUUACUGACGCUGAGGAGCGAAAGCAUGGGGAGCGAACAGGAUUAGAUACCCUGGUAGUCCAUGCCGUAAACGUUGGGCACUAGGUGUGGGACCCAUUCCACGGGUUCCGUGCCGCAGCUAACGCAUUAAGUGCCCCGCCUGGGGAGUACGGCCGCAAGGCUA
rnacentral:rRNA from 1 species